AGUGAACGCUGGCGGUAGGCCUAACACAUGCAAGUCGAACGGCAGCACAGUAAGAGCUUGCUCUUACGGGUGGCGAGUGGCGGACGGGUGAGGAAUACAUCGGAAUCUACUUUUUCGUGGGGGAUAACGUAGGGAAACUUACGCUAAUACCGCAUACGACCUACGGGUGAAAGCAGGGGAUCUUCGGACCUUGCGCGAUUGAAUGAGCCGAUGUCGGAUUAGCUAGUUGGCGGGGUAAAGGCCCACCAAGGCGACAAUCCGUAGCGGGUCUGAGAGGAUGAUCAGCCACACUGGAACUGAGACACGGUCCAGACUCCUACGGGAGGCAGCAGUGGGGAAUAUUGGACAAUGGGCGCAAGCCUGAUCCAGCCAUACCGCGUGGGUGAAGAAGGCCUUCGGGUUGUAAAGCCCUUUUGUUGGGAAAGAAAAGCAGCAGGUUAAUACCCCGCUGUUCUGACGGUACCCAAAGAAUAAGCACCGGCUAACUUCGU
rnacentral:rRNA from 1 species